rnacentral:rRNA from 1 species
GAUGAACGCUAGCUACAGGCUUAACACAUGCAAGUCGAGGGGCAGCGGUAUCGAAAGCUUGCUUUCGGUAGCCGGCGACCGGCGCACGGGUGAGUAACGCGUAUCGAACCUGCCUCAUACUCGGGAAUAGCCUUGCGAAAGUAAGAUUAAUGCCCGGUGUUUUCAGAGUCCCGCAUGAGGCUUUGAACAAAGAUUUAUCGGUAUGAGAUGGCGAUGCGUCCCAUUAGCUUGUUGGCGGGGUAACGGCCCACCAAGGCAUCGAUGGGUAGGGGUUCUGAGGGGAAGGUCCCCCACAUUGGAACUGAGACACGGUCCAAACUCCUACGGGAGGCAGCAGUGAGGGAUAUUGGUCAAUGGGCGGAAGCCUGAACCAGCCAAGUAGCGUGCAGGAAGACGGCCCUCCGGGUUGUAAACUGCUUUUAGUUGGGAAUAAAACGGGGCUCGUGAGCCCCCUUGCAUGUACCAUCAGAAAAAGGACCGGCUAAUUCCGUG